rnacentral:rRNA from 1 species
CCUACGGGAGGCAGCAGUGAGGAAUAUUGGUCAAUGGGCGAGAGCCUGAACCAGCCAAGUCACGUGAAGGAUGAAGGAUCUAUGGUUUGUAAACUUCUUUUAUAUGGGAAUAAAGUGAGGAACGUGUUCCUUUUUGUAUGUACCAUAUGAAUAAGCAUCGGCUAACUCCGUGCCAGCAGCCGCGGUAAUACGGAGGAUGCGAGCGUUAUCCGGAUUUAUUGGGUUUAAAGGGUGCGUAGGUGGUUAAUUAAGUCAGCGGUGAAAGUUUGUGGCUCAACCAUAAAAUUGCCGUUGAAACUGGUUGACUUGAGUAUAUUUGAGGUAGGCGGAAUGCGUGGUGUAGCGGUGAAAUGCAUAGAUAUCACGCAGAACUCCGAUUGCGAAGGCAGCUUACUAAACUAUAACUGACACUGAAGCACGAAAGCGUGGGUAUCAAACAGGAUUAGAUACCCGAGUAGUC